rnacentral:rRNA from 1 species
UACGAAGGGGGCUAGCGUUGCUCGGAAUCACUGGGCGUAAAGGGUGCGUAGGCGGGUUUUUAAGUCAGAGGUGAAAUCCUGGAGCUCAACUCCAGAACUGCCUUUGAUACUGAGAAUCUUGAGUAUGGGAGAGGUGAGUGGAACUGCGAGUGUAGAGGUGAAAUUCGUAGAUAUUCGCAAGAACACCAGUGGCGAAGGCGGCUCACUGGCCCAUAACUGACGCUGAGGCACGAAAGCGUGGGGAGCGAACAGG